rfam:Felis catus isolate Cinnamon breed Abyssinian chromosome E1, whole genome shotgun sequence.
GCCUGAGUGGCUCAGUCGGUUAAGCGUCCGACUUCAACUCAGGUCACGAUUUCACGGUCCGUGAGUUUGAGCCCCACGUCAGGCU